GUGCACCAGUCGAGAAACCUCCGCAAUGCGGGAAACCGCGACGGGGGACCCCGAGUGCCGUGGCAACGCCACGGCUUUUCCGGAGUGUAAAAAGCUCCGGGGAAUAAGGGCUGGGCAAGGCCGGUGGCAGCCGCCGCGGUAAUACCGGCGGCCCGAGUGGUGGCCGCUAUUAUUGGGCCUAAAGCGUCCGUAGCCGGGCCCGUAAGUCCCUGGCGAAAUCCCACGGCUCAACCGUGGGGCUUGCUGGGGAUACUGCGGGUCUUGGGACCGGGAGAGGCGGGGGGUACCCCUGGGGUAGGGGUGAAAUCCUAUAAUCCCAGGGGGACCGCCAGUGGCGAAGGCGCCCCGCUGGAACGGGUCCGACGGUGAGGGACGAAGGCCA
rnacentral:rRNA from 1 species